UACGUAGGGGGCAAGCGUUGUCCGGAAUCAUUGGGCGUAAAGCGCGCGUAGGCGGCCCUGUAAGUCCGCUGUAAAAGUCAAAGGCUCAACCUUUGAAAGCCGGUGGAUACUGCAGGGCUAGAGUCCGGAAGAGGCGAGUGGAAUUCCUGGUGUAGCGGUGAAAUGCGCAGAUAUCAGGAGGAACACCAAUGGCGAAGGCAGCUCGCUGGGACGUGACUGACGCUGAGACGCGAAAGCGUGGGGAGCAAACAGG
rnacentral:rRNA from 1 species